rnacentral:rRNA from 1 species
AUUAGGGCAGACGGGUGAGUAAUGUAUAGGAAUCUACCUUAGUAGUAUGGAAUAAUUGUUGGAAACGGCAACUUAAUACCCGUAUACGCCCUACCGGGGGAAAAAUUUAUUGCUAUUGGAUGAGCCUAUAUUAGAUUAGCUAGUUGGUGGAGUAAUAGCCUACCCAAGGNCAAUGAUCUAUAGCUGAUCUGAGAGGAUGAUCAGCCACACUGGAACUGAGAUACSGUCCNAGACUCCUACNGGGAGGCAGCAGUGGGGAAUAUUGGACAAUGGGCGAAAGCCUGAUCCAGCCAUGCCGCAUGAGUGAAGAAGGCCUUUGGGUUGUAAAGCUCUUUUAGUGAGGAAGAUAAUGACGGUACUCACAGAAGAAGUCCUGGCUAACUCCGUGCCAGCAGCCGCGGUAAUACGGAGAGGGCUAGCGUUAUUCGGAAUUAUUGGGCGUAAAGGGCGCGUAGGCUGGUUAAUAAGUUAAAAGUGAAAUCCCGAGGCUUAACCUUGGAAUUGCUUUUAAAACUAUUAAUCUAGAGAUUGAAAGAGGAUAGAGGAAUUCCUGAUGUAGAGGUAAAAUUCGUAAAUAUUAGGAGGAACACCAGUGGCGAAGGCGUCUAUCUGGUUCAAAUCUGACGCUGAAGCGCGAAGGCGUGGGGAGCAAACAGGAUUAGAUACCCUGGUAGUCCACGCUGUAAACGAUGAAUGUUAAAUAUGGGAAGUUUACUUUCUGUAUUACAGCUAACGCGUUAAACAUUCCGCCUGGGGACUACGGUCGCAAGAUUAAAACUCMAAGGAAUUGACGGGGACCCGCACAAGCGGUGGAGCAUGUGGUUUAAUCGAGCACGCGAAACUAC